AGGGAAUCUUCCGCAAUGGACGAAAGUCUGACGGAGCAACGCCGCGUGAGUGAAGAAGGCCUUCGGGUCGUAAAACUCCGUUGCCGGGGAAGAACAAGUGCCGUUCGAACAGGGCGGCGCCUUGACGGUACCCGGCCAGAAAGCCACGGCUAACUACGUGCCAGCAGCCGCGGUAAUACGUAGGUGGCAAGCGUUGUCCGGAAUUAUUGGGCGUAAAGCGCGCGCAGGCGGCUCUUAAGUCUGAGGUGAAAUCUUGCGGCUCAACCGCAAGCGGUCAUUGGAAACUGGGAGGCUUGAGUGCAGAAGAGGAGAGUGGAAUUCCACGUGUAGCGGUGAAAUGCGUAGAGAUGUGGAGGAACACCAGUGGCGAAGGCGACUCUCUGGGCUGUAACUGACGCUGAGGCGCGAAAGCGUGGGGAGCAAAC
rnacentral:rRNA from 1 species